CCUGUGCAUGGUUCACCACAACCAAGUAUUAACCCACCAGCACAAACCAGCAUUCCUCCCUCCCCUUCCCCACUCCCCAGCCCAGUGACAGUCGGUGCCCUUGCCUCCCUGGCUACCAAGAUGUUGGACAGCCGAUGGGCUGUGUCCGGCAGGAACACAGGAGUUGCAAGGAUGGAGCCACCUGGAACCAGGAGGGGCUAUGUUUGACCAAGCGUCAGUGAAAUGACCACUGUGCCUACCAGGAUUUUUUUCCUUCUGGACCGGCUUUCCCCACCAUGUGCUGUGGGCCAUCCCUGCAACUUGGAGCUAGGGCAGAAGUCUGGCCCCCUCUAUGUAGUCAAGAUGGAUGGGCGUGGCUUCCUGGGCCUGACCAGACCAGGUGGUAAGCUACUACACUCCCUCAGCCUUCCCCUCGGGGAUCCCAGGCAUCCAGACCAGGAUCCAGGAAAGUCUAGGGAAGGACAUCUCGCCUCUUGUUGGUCAUUGAACCUCAACUCCACAUACCUUGGGGAUCUGCUGCCCCCAGAGCCAGGCAUCUGAAACCCUACAGUCUGCCUCCAAGACAAUGAUACACUGGCACGCCUGGUGACUCAUGAGCAUUACCCAGAGCAUGACCUGGGCCACUUCUAUAACACACUGGAGCACUUUGACUGGGGGCGCUUCCGGGCCCUGGCUGAGGAGUCCCAGCUCUAUAAGCAAAGCCUCAGUCUCUUCCUGCAGCAGUUCCAGCAGCCAGGUGUUUAUGUCUUUCGUCUGAGCAGCAACCGACAUCAGAAGAUGGUUUGUCUAUGAUAAUUUGCCUCAUUUAAGACAUUAUUCCAUCAUUUCCCCUCUCUUUAAAAAUUACUGCCUCAUAACCACCUCAGACAGAUCUACAAGGAAGGAGAUGCCCUGAUAUCCCUGUCAGUUUCAGGGUCCCACAAUGCUAACAGAUGGUCCUGGGGAUGCCAAGGUUCAUUCUACAGCAGCUGGGCAUGUGUGGUAUAAGGAGGGGAUGGUUGGGAGGAUGGGAACACAAGCGUGUAUUAAGGGACAUCAAUGGCAUUGCACGGCCUGGGACCUCUGGCUAUCUCUCCCAACCCUCCACUUGUCUCCCCCUCCACAUCUCCCAAGCCCUCCUACGCAUGGUUUUAUCUGUGUGACCUGCACAUUGUGCCACCACUGAUCCGGGUGUGCUGUUGGUGCCACACACAGCAUUUUGUAUCUCCCUGUCAGCACAACGUCCAAGAGAUUGUACUGACUUAGUCCCAGAACAUGCACACAGCUCCUCAUGCAGACAGUCAACUGAGGUGAGUCAUCUGAUGUAAGUUAGUUUCCCAGGAAAACUCUGAUUCUGCCUCCCAGCCCCCAGGUUUACACGAUCGUCCAACUAUUUGGUCAGUGUUGGCAGGCAUGGGUCCCACUCCGUCUCCUGGCCAGUCUCUGGUAGACAGCGGUACAAAGACUGAACAGACUGCUUUCCACGCAGUAUCUCCGUGCCCUCCCGCCGGGGGGCCUGUGCUUUGGGGAAGGGCCCUUUGCCUCCACAGCUCCCAGGUAUCUCAUCCAGACUGGCAUCGCCAGGAUCCCCCGGCCCCUGAAGAGGUCUGGCUGGCCAGGACUCCUAGGGGAGAUAGUGCCGCUCCUGGGGCUUUGCCUGCUUCUAAUGGUGAGUAAAGCCAGACAAGCGACUUCUUAACCACUACCCAAGACCAGCUCUCCAAUCCCCUAUAAGUGGAUCUUCCAGUUCCGUUUAUGGUAAGCAUUCUAAUAGUUGCUAGGAUGCAAAUGUGACAAAGGUGCAGUUUCAAGCCUCCAGGGCUUGAAAGAAAUACAUGUCAGCAAAUAUAAUGGAGCUAGCUAAAGCAUGUCCAGGGAGCCGCGGCCACACAAAAGCAAGAGUUGCCUGUUCUCCCUCAGGGGUCAGGACAGACUCAGUCAGGAGGAGUUGAUCCCUGAAUGAGGCUUGAAAUAGAAGUCUUUUUUCUUUUUUUUUUUUUUUUUUUUGAGAUGGAGUUUCACUCUUGUUACCCAGGCUGGGGUGCAAUGGCGCGAUCUCGGCUCACCGCAACCUCCGCCUCCUGGGUUCAGGCAAUUCUCCUGCCUCAGCCUCCUGAGUAGCUGGGAUUACAGGCACGCGCCACCAUGUCCAGCUAAUUUUUUGUAUUUUUAGUAGAGACGGGGUUUCACAUGUUGACCAGGAUGGUCUCGAUCUGUUGACCUCGUGAUCCACCCACCUUGGCCUCCCAAAGUGCUGGGAUUACAGGCGUGAGCCACCAUGCCUGGCUGGUGAGAAGUCUUUAAUAUAACGUGGUCCCUGCAUUACAAGAGGGUUGGUGAGUUGAGGAGCAGGGAGUACGCACUGGGGAGGAGGGACAGAGAUGAGGAGUACUGUGAACACAGCAAGAACAUAGGCAUGAAACAACAGGCACCUUCUCAGGGAACCCAAUGGGGUUUCCCAUGACUGGUGCUGAGGUGUGAGGGCAGGGAUAAGGCUGGAACUGGGAGGGAGACUAAAUUGUGGAUGGUCUCCGGGCCCUGCUAGGAAGUUUGGACUCUAUCCCCUAGGCAGGGAAUAAGAAUUUUUAGCAAGUGAGAAAAGCUUGUCUGACUUUUAUUUGUCCUCUAGCAGUAGGGUGGAGGACAGAGACGGAUCAGAGAGAGGAAAAAAUGACAGAGGCCUAAACAAUUAGCAAGCAAGAGAGGAUGAGGUGCUCCCUAACCACGGCUCUGCUCGAAGUGUGAGCUGCCUCCUUUCAGAGUCUUCAGGAAGGAAGCCAUGCCCUCGGCUCACCUUUCCCUUCCCACCCCAUAUUAUGUACUCUGUAGAUUCAGUGUCACAGCCUGAGCUGGGCUCUGAAGACUGCUCCUCACCCUACCUUCAGGAGACAUCGGCAAGAAUACAACCUCCAUGCGUACACUUCCCCAAGAACUGGAAUAAUGUCAAUGAGGAGAGGCCGAUCUCACCAAGACUCUGACGCCCCCAGGGUUGAGGGGGGCCCCGUAGGUCUGGGAUGAGGCCUGAGAUUCUGCAUUUCUAUCAAGUUCCUCAGCAGCCCUGAUGCUCCUUACCCGAGAACUACACUUUCAGUAGCAAGACUGCCUGAAUUGUUGAGGCUCAAUAGGAAAAAGGUGGGAGCUGGGAGGCCGAGGAGCAGGUGGACCUGGAAGGGUUUAACACAGAGGCCUUCUUUGGAAUCCUGCUCAGGCAGUCUCUCUCAGUGACAGCCAAACUCAGCCAGACCAAGGAAGAGCCCAAACUCCUCUACCUUAAACUUCUGCACGAAGCCUGUUCUCUCCAACAGCUGUGGGGAGCAAGGCGCUGCCUCCCAGCCUCCACUAGUCAGCUCCUGGGGAGCAUGCAGAGGGAGCAGCAGCAGGCUGCUGAGGCAGCUGCCAGGGCAGCAGAGGAGGAGGCCAGGCGGAGGGGGCACCUGGCAGGCAAGUAUGCAGCCAGCCUUCGUCACCAACUGAAGCUCCUUUGCCAAGACCUUUGCGAGAGGCAGGAGCAGUGGGCCUCUUUCUGCUCAGCACUGAUGGAGGCUCAGCAGCUGCUGAAAGCACGGACAGGCUCCAGGCCAGAGAAGUCCUCUCCAGCUGGGCAGAACUCAGAAAGGGCAGUUCCCCAGCUGGACACCUGUCCCAGGUCAUGCUGCAGGAGGGCCACCGCCUAAAGGCCUGGGGCAUUCUGAGCACCAGCAUUGUGGCAGAGCUGCUGCGGCCAGCCCCAGCAGGCCCUCCCGGGGUGCUGAUGACAUCAGUGUAAAACCCAUCACCAAGUUGAUGGUCCCUGGCCCCAAUUGCUCGAUGCUUCCAGCCAGUGGCCACACAGGCUCCAUACCCGCCGCUACCUCAUCCACCCCGACACUGGGUGGGUGCUGCCCGAGGCUGGACACCUGGGAUGUGAUCUGCUGAGAGCUACCCUGGUGCCCACUGUGGACUCCAUUGCGGGUGGCAUCCGAACAUCAGAAGCUGCCAUUCUGCCCUAUGUGCCCUACCCAACCAGUCCAGCCACAGGUUCCUCUCCAGCCACGCACCUGCCCAUCCUGCAGCCAAGAAGGACGUCCCAGUUGGGGGCUCUCAUGACAG